ACAGCACAUGUACGUCUGGCCGACGUCGGCCCAAUAUCUAAACGUCGGCCUCUAUACCUAAAACAUCUAUAAAACAUCGGCCUGGCGGAGGCCGAUAUAAUUUGGUCAGUGCUCUGUUCUCCAGCUCAUCAAUCGUCGGCCCUGAGUUGGUUCACGACCGCGGGCCGAUGCCGCGCUUCUCUGUGUGCGCGUGCCCAGUAUUCGUCUCUUUUAGCCACCCAGAGAGAGCGAAGAGGAUAAUCCCAGCGACAUCUGUGGCUCUCAGGCUUUCAGAAAUAAUCCGGUGAAAUAAUAUGAUGUUUGUGUAAAUGCUGUGUGCGCGUUGAGUCCUGUGCGAGCUGGGAGCAGAGUUGCCAUGGAAACGGGGCAUCAACACAAAAACCGUUACUGGCAAGCAGUAAUCUCCGUCUCUCGCUGCAGUUUACACUGUUUUGGAAACGGUUUAGUUUCUUCGAAAAAGUCCGUUAGCAUCUUAGCAGUUUUCAGGUAGGCUAACUAUAUAGAUUGAGCUCUUGUUGAUGAAACUCUGGGCUUUUAAUCAAAUCUUCGUGUGUGUAUGAGAUAUUUUGAUGGCACUUUGAAUGUUUUGCUGGUGAUUUGUCAGUAUGUUAUUGGAAAAGGCUGAUUUACUGAAUCGAUGACGUCACUUACAGUGAGAGUGUAAUCGGCUGAAAUCAAGUUCACAUUAGUUUCGAUAUUUCAUGAUAAACAGAUAUUAAUACAAAUUGUUCUGUGAUUUCAGGAGGACAGAAAGAAACUACAGAACAGAAGUGAAGCUCCAAGAUUUCAACAUUUCUGAAGGGAGAUUCUGACUUAGAAAUACAGGUGACCUGAAGAAGCUCAUGAAAAACAUGAAUAUGCCUUUUUCAGAAUACAUUUCACCAAUUUUAAGAAGUCCCUGACAUCAUAACAGUAAAUAUUGUUGACUCUGUGUCAGAUUGCUUGUUUUGUUCCUGGAUUCUUCAGUGAUGAUGAGCAGAGUCUGAGUGAACCUGCUGUCAGACAGGUUGGCCUGAUUGACGAUGCCAUCGUCCAUCGCCGAUGGCUGAUAGACAUCACGAUGCUGCGCUGGCAAACAGCGUCAUCAGCUGCAGUAUCUCGCCCGUGCAUCUGUUGUCAUGCGACAGAGAAGUCACGUUCUAUAGACAGUUUCUAUAGACAGUUGUGAACGUGCUGACAGCUGGUUGCCCAGGCUAUGGAUUAAAGGUAAUACUGUUGGCCAGCAGAGCCCUGCUCACCCUGACGGCCCACCGCUGCUGUCAGAUAACAUCUCCAAGAUGCUAUAAACUGCAGGACCAGAUGGCCAUCGCAAGGUUCCUAGAGAUUACAGCAGCUCCAGACUGAAUCCAAACUCACUUUUGAAGACUUCAGAUGAGACCAACGCUCACAAAGAUUACAGACGACAACUGUACAUGAACACACAAAACAUUGGACACACAAAACAAAUAUUAUCCUUAUUUUGCCUAUAAGGGUAAAUUUGAUGAUUUUCAAACUGCUUUAUUGUAACGUCUCAUAUCUGUAUAUCUAUCUGUAAAUGAACAAUAUUUACUCUCUGAGUUAUGUGGACCUACAUGUCCCCUUUUAUUUGUAAGCAUCACUUUAAAAAUGUUGAAAGAUAAUGUUAAUGUUAACUGAAUACAAAACUAGAGACUUGUUUAGUAAGAUUUUAUCAGAAAAUAUUUUUGAACUUUUAUCAUGCAAUUUAAAACAUUUUAAUUGCUUAAUUAGUAUUGUUUGCCUGGUUUUAUUUUGUGUUUAUGUAACUCUUUUUAAAAAGUUCUUGGCAUAAAGUUCGCAUGCGAUGCUGACAGCACUGAACACAUGACUUUUUAUUAUGAACUAGAUGGUCUUCCCAGUGAGUCUCAGUCAUCUCUGGCUUUUUAAACUGUAACCUUGAAACAUGCAUUUCCUGUAAACCUACUUUGAAAUAAGUAUUAUUAAAAGGUGCUAUACUCAUACAACAUUUAACCAUGCAAGUACUGUAGUAAUGGUUAUUUUUGUUUUUACUAUGGGUUUACUGCAAAAGCUGUAGUAAAAUCAUGGUGAUUGUAGUGAAACUAUGGUUGAUUUAGUUUUUUCUAUGGUUUUCCUGCAAAAGCUGUAGUAAAAUCAUGGUUAAUGUUCAAAAGACUACAAAUAAUCCCGAAUUAUCCACUUUUGAUCAAAGCAUCUGGUAAAUGUUAUUGUAUUUGUACAUGUAAUAUGAAAUAAAUGAAAAUAUUAAUAAAGUUGCGUCUGUUCUUGA